UGGGGAAUUUUGGACAAUGGGGGCAACCCUGAUCCAGCCAUGCCGCGUGCGGGAAGAAGGCCUUCGGGUUGUAAACCGCUUUCGGCCGGAACGAAAUCGCAUCUGUGAAUAGCGGGUGUGGAUGACGGUACCGGAAGAAGAAGCACCGGCUAACUACGUGCCAGCAGCCGCGGUAAUACGUAGGGUGCGAGCGUUAAUCGGAAUUACUGGGCGUAAAGCGUGCGCAGGCGGCCGCGUAAGCCAGAGGUGAAAUCCCCGGGCUCAACCUGGGAAUGGCCUUUGGGACUGCGUGGCUCGAGUGCGGCAGAGGGGGGUGGAAUUCCUGGUGUAGCAGUGAAAUGCGUAGAUAUCAGGAGGAACACCGAUGGCGAAGGCAGCCCCCUGGGCCAGCACUGACGCUCAGGCACGAAAGCGUGGGGAGCAAACAGG
rnacentral:rRNA from 1 species